GAUGAACGCUGGCGGCGUGCCUAAUACAUGCAAGUCGAGCGAACAGACGAGGAGCUUGCUCCUCUGACGUUAGCGGCGGACGGGUGAGUAACACGUGGAUAACCUACCUAUAAGACUGCGAUAACUUCGGGAAACCGGAGCUAAUACCGGAUAAUAUAUUGAACCGCAUGGUUCAAUAGUGAAAGACGGUUUUGCUGUCACUUAUAGAUGGAUCCGCGCCGCAUUAGCUAGUUGGUAAGGUAACGGCUUACCAAGGCGACGAUGCGUAGCCGACCUGAGAGGGUGAUCGGCCACACUGGAACUGAGACACGGUCCAGACUCCUACGGGAGGCAGCAGUAGGGAAUCUUCCGCAAUGGGCGAAAGCCUGACGGAGCAACGCCGCGUGAGUGAUGAAGGUCUUCGGAUCGUAAAACUCUGUUAUUAGGGAAGAACAAAUGUGUAAGUAACUAUGCACGUCUUGACGGUACCUAAUCAGAAAGCCACGGCUAACUACGUG
rnacentral:rRNA from 1 species